UACAGAGGGGGCAAGCGUUAUUCGGAAUUAUUGGGCGUAAAGGGCGCGUAGGCGGCUUCGCAAGUGGAAGGUGAAAUCCCUCGGCUUAACCGAGGAACUGCCCUCCAAACUGCGUUGCUUGAGGCCGGGAGAGGUGAGUGGAAUUCCCAGUGUAGCGGUGAAAUGCGUAGAUAUUGGGAGGAACACCAGUGGCGAAGGCGGCUCACUGGACCGGUUCUGACGCUGAGGCGCGAAAGCUAGGGGAGCAAACGGG
rnacentral:rRNA from 1 species